CCCUUCGGGGUGUGACUGCGUACCUUUUGUAUAAUGGGUCAGCGACUUAUAUUCUGUAGCAAGGUUAACCGAAUAGGGGAGCCGGAGGGAAACCGAGUCUUAAUUGGGCGUUAAGUUGCAGGGUAUAGACCCGAAACCCGGUGAUCUAGCCAUGGGCAGGUUGAAGGUUGGGUAACACUAACUGGAGGACCGAACCGACUAAUGUUGAAAAAUUAGCGGAUGACCUGUGGCUGGGGGUGAAAGGCCAAUCAAACCGGGAGAUAGCUGGUUCUCCCCGAAAGCUAUUUAGGUAGCGCCUCGUGAAUUCAUCUCCGGGGGUAGAGCACUGUUUCGGCUAGGGGGCCAUCCCGGCUUACCAACCCGAUGCAAACUGCGAAUACCGGAGAAUGUUAUCACGGGAGACACACGGCGGGUGCUAACGUCCGUCGUGAAGAGGGAAACAACCCAGACCGCCAGCUAAGGUCCCAAAGUCAUGGUUAAGUGGGAAACGAUGUGGGAAGGCCCAGACAGCCAGGAUGUUGGCUUAGAAGCAGCCAUCAUUUAAAGAAAGCGUAAUAGCUCACUGGUCGAGUCGGCCUGCGCGGAAGAUGUAACGGGGCUAAACCAUGCACCGAAGCUGCGGCAGCGAACGUAUCACCCAAGACAACUUUACGGAGUUGACGAUUGACGGAGCGAAGCGACGUCAAAGCGUUCAUUAAAGUCGAGUUGGCUUAGGGAUACGUUCGUUGGGUAGGGGAGCGUUCUGUAAGCCUGUGAAGGUGUGUCGUGAGGCAUGCUGGAGGUAUCAGAAGUGCGAAUGCUGACAUAAGUAACGAUAAAGCGGGUGAAAAGCCCGCUCGCCGGAAGACCAAGGGUUCCUGUCCAACGUUAAUCGGGGCAGGGUGAGUCGACCCCUAAGGCGAGGCCGAAAGGCGUAGUCGAUGGGAAACGGGUUAAUAUUCCCGUACUUGGUGUUACUGCGAAGGGGGGACGGAGAAGGCUAUGUUGGCCGGGCGACGGUUGUCCCGGUUUAAGCGUGUAGGUGUGUGUUCCAGGUAAAUCCGGUUCACUUUAACACUGAGGCGUGACGACGAGGCACUACGGUGCUGAAGCAACAAAUGCCCUGCUUCCAGGAAAAGCCUCUAAGCAUCAGGUAACACGAAAUCGUACCCCAAACCGACACAGGUGGUCAGGUAGAGAAUACCAAGGCG
rnacentral:rRNA from 1 species